UGACACCGACAUGGAGCUGCUCAGGGAA
rnacentral:piRNA from 1 species